GCCAGCUUUGCCCUAUCCCAUAGCCUGGAGCCACCACAGGAGGGGCACUCCACUCUCUUGGGCUCCUGGAGCCUCAGAGGCAGGAGCUGCGGCAUGGACGAGCCCUGAGUGAUUCCAUUGACAAGAGAUGUCCACAGCGGGCAGGGCCAUAGAGACAGGAAGCAGCUUAGUGGUUACCAAGGACCGCAGGAGGAGAGAACGGGGACACACACCUGAGAGCCAGCCGGGAGUGCAGGAGGGAGAACUUUCCUGUGGACGUCCUGUGUUCUCCAGACGCAGAGAACCCUCAUCAACCGAGGGGGAGGUCACUUCCGAAUCCACAGAUGGCGUGUGAGUGCAUGGCGAGCGCCUCCAGGACACACUUACUGUUCCCUUGCUCUGGCCAGACGCCAGCCGGACCCUGUGUGUGCGCGCCGUGCUGCUCUUUGCAGCUGCCUGCAAGGGGUUCCUGCGAAGACCAGCACCUUGGGGAAGAGCCUGCGGCUGAACUUGAACUCGCAGCUACCUGAGUCAGACCUGUGCUUUUUCACCUCUACGGAAGAUGUCAGAGCGUUUCCCUAGCAAUGUUUUAGAAGUUACUUCUGUCUGGAAAAAAAUGGAAAAAAUGGCAAAUUAUGUUAUGUAUAAUUUGAUAAUUUUAAAGAAUUAAUGAUGUAAUUAUUAC
rnacentral:lncRNA from 1 species